GAUGAACGCUGGCGGCGUGCCUAAUACAUGCAAGUCGAGCGGACAGAUGAGGAGCUUGCUCCGCUGACGUUAGCGGCGGACGUGUGAGUAACGCGUGGAGACCCUACCUAUAGGACUGGGAUAACUUCGGGAAACCAGAACUAAUACCUGAUAAUAUAUUGAACCGCAUGGUUCAAUAGUUACAGACGGUUUUGCUGUGACUGAUAGAUGGAUCCGCGCCGCAUUAGCUAGUUGGUAAGGUAACGGCUUACCAAGGCAACGAUGCGUAGCCGACCUGAGAGGGUGAUCGGCCACCCUGGAACUGAGACACGGUCCAGACCCCUACGGGACGCAGCAGUAGGGAAUCUUCCGCAAUGGGAGAAAGCCUGACGGAGAAACGCCGCGCCAGUGAUGAAGGUCCUCGGCUCGUAAAACUAUGCUACUAGUGAAGAACAAAUGUGUAAGCCACUAUGCACGUCUUGACGGUACCUAACCAGAGAGCACCGGCUAACUACGUG
rnacentral:rRNA from 1 species